UAGGGAAUAUUGGACAAUGGGGGCAACCCUGAUCCAGCCAUGCCGCGUGAGUGAAGAAGGCCCUCGGGUUGUAAAGCUCUUUUGUCCGGAAAGAAAAGCUUCGGGCUAAUACCCCGGGGUUCUGACGGUACCGGAAGAAUAAGCACCGGCUAACUUCGUGCCAGCAGCCGCGGUAAUACGAAGGGUGCAAGCGUUACUCGGAAUUACUGGGCGUAAAGCGUGCGUAGGCGGUUGUUUAAGUCUGAUGUGAAAGCCCUGGGCUCAACCUGGGAAUGGCAUUGGAAACUGGGCAGCUAGAGUGCGGUAGAGGGUAGUGGAAUUCCCGGUGUAGCAGUGAAAUGCGUAGAGAUCGGGAGGAACAUCUGUGGCGAAGGCGACUGCCUGGACCAGCACUGACACUGAGGCACGAAAGCGUGGGGAGCAAACA
rnacentral:rRNA from 1 species